rnacentral:rRNA from 1 species
UACAGAGGUGGCAAGCGUUGCUCGGUAUCACUGGGCUUAAAGGGCGCGUAGGCGGUGCGGUGCGGUUUCGGUGAAAUCCCUCGGCCCAACCGAGGAACAGCCGAGGCUACGGCCGUGCUAGACGGCAUCAGGGGACAGUGGAACUCCCGGUGGAGCGGUGAAAUGCGUAGAUAUCGGGAGGAACGCCGGUGGCGAAAGCGACUGUCUGGGGUGCCUGUGACGCUGAGGCGCGAAAGCCAGGGGAUAAAACGGG